AAACUUUCCUGACAGGGGAUACACCAUAAUCACAAAGUGGUUUUCCCAGGGCGAAGUGUAUCCCUUGCACUCUGGAUGUGAUUUUCCCAAAUGCAGGAAACUCGACUGCAUAAUUUGUGCAAGACUCUCCCUUGGAGUGGGGGC
rnacentral:snRNA from 1 species